UUCUCGUAUCAAAGGAGGAGCGAAAACUUUCCUAUGCAUUAUGGUGGCUCAUUGGCAGUUCAGGUUUUGUUUCAAUUUUGCAUUUGAGAGGAGCUGACCACCAUAUUACUGGUGGCUGCCCUGAUCUUUCUUAAAAACAGAAAAGUCGAUUCUUUUCUCUCUUAGAAUUUAGAAUUUGUAACUAGUGGUUGGGGUAACCAGAUGGGCUGGGGUGGGGGAGAGCAGGUGAGCAGUGGAUCUCUGUAGAGAUCUAAGAGUUUAAAAAUGAGCCUUUUGGCAAAUCAGAGAGGAACACCUCACCUCAUUCUCUGAACUCUUUAUGCCCAUACAUCACAUCCCCUGGCCAUAUUAUUAUUCUUAGCAAAUGCACAAGGGAUACAAUGAAGAAUGGGAAAAUUCAACAUAGAAAAAUAGACAUUUCUGUUUUAUCUCUCUACUUUAUAAGUCAAAAGAAAAAAUGUUAAAAAUGUCCAAAGGGGUUAGGUAGACAUCACCUAUUAGCAGACAUGCCAACUCUCACGAAUUAAUCGUGAGAGAUGCAAUUUCUGAGUAAAAUUACAAUCACUCAUGAUCUCGCGAUAGAGCUUUGGCUGAAAAAAAAUUCCCGACAUUUGAGAGUUCUAAAAAUGAGGCUUCAUUUUACUUAGAAAUCCUGUCAUCUGCCCUGGGCGCGUCUGGGGCUCCCACUGUCACCACCCCAGUGCGGCUGCUCCCCUGCCAGCCUGGGAAGUGGGAGAGGGGCCCCCACUGUAGCCCCCAGGCCUAGGGAGGGUGAAGAACCCCAGGAGGGGCAGAGGUGAGGCUGGGAGGGCUUUAUUAUGGCCUGGGGGCUGCCGGGGGCCUGAAGUGAGUGGGGGGCUGAUGGGCUGGGGGGGCUGUAUUGCUGGUGGGUUCUGAGCAGAUAGGGUGAGUGCUUGCAGGGUGAACUGAGGGCAGUGGGGUAGGAGUGCUGAACUGAUGGGUCGGUGAUGAUGGGGGCCGGGGGACUGAAUUGCGGGGGGUUGGAUGGGGACAGAACUGAUGGGGGUCUGGGGAACAGGAUUAAUUGCUGGGCAGGAGACGGGCAGAUACGGGGUGAGAGCUCCUGCAGCAGGAGCCAAAAUCCCCUUCUCCAGGACAUGUGGGCGAGUGGGCAACACUGAUUGUCACAUGCGCACGCCCUGGGGAGGGGCCUGGGGAGUUCAAACAUCAAGAGACUGAC